rnacentral:rRNA from 1 species
UACGAAGGUCCCAAGCGUUAUCCGGAUUUAUUGGGAUUAAAGGGUGCGUAGGCGGGCUAUUAAGUCAGUGGUGAAAGCCCCAAGCUUAACUUGGGAACUGCCAUUGAUACUGAUGGUCUUGAGUACAUUUGAGGUGGGCGGAAUGUGUCAUGUAGCGGUGAAAUGCUUAGAUAUGACACAGAACACCGAUUGCGAAGGCAGCUCACUAAACUGUAACUGACGCUGAGGCACGAAAGCGUGGGGAGCAAACAGG